GUGCCAAGCGGUGGAGCAUGUGGUUUAAUUCGACGCAACGCGCAGAACCUUACCAGCCCUUGACAUCCCGGUCGCGGACUCCAGAGACGGAGUUCUUCAGUUCGGCUGGACCGGAGACAGGUGCUGCAUGGCUGUCGUCAGCUCGUGUCGUGAGAUGUUGGGUUAAGUCCCGCAACGAGCGCAACCCCCGUCCUUAGUUGCUACCAUUUAGUUGAGCACUCUAAGGAGACUGCCGGUGAUAAGCCGCGAGGAAGGUGGGGAUGACGUCAAGUCCUCAUGGCCCUUACGGGCUGGGCUACACACGUGCUACAAUGGCGGUGACAAUGGGAUGCUAAGGGGCGACCCUUCGCAAAUCUCAAAAAGCCGUCUCAGUUCGGAUUGGGCUCUGCAACUCGAGCCCAUGAAGUUGGAAUCGCUAGUAAUCGUGGAUCAGCACGCCACGGUGAAUACGUUCCCGGGCCUUGUACACACCGCCCGUAAA
rnacentral:rRNA from 1 species